rnacentral:rRNA from 1 species
AGUGAACGCUGGCGGUAGGUCUAACACAUGCAAGUCGAACGGCAGCACAGUAAGAGCUUGCUCUUACGGUUGGCGAGUGGCGGACGGGUGCGGAAUACAUCGGAAUCUACUUUUUCGUGGGGGAUAACGUAGGGAAACUUACGCUAAUACCGCAUACGACCUACGGGUGAAAGCAGGGGAUCUUCGGACCUUGCGCGAUUGAAUGAGCCGAUGUCGGAUUAGCUAGUUGGCGGGGUAAAGGCCCGCCAAGGCGACGAUCCGUAGCUGGUCUGAGAGGAUGAUCAGCCACACUGGAACUGAGACACGGUACAGACUCCUACGGGGGGCAGCAGUGGGGAAUAUUGGACAAUGGGCGCAAGCCUGAUCCAGCCAUACCGCGUGGGUGAAGAAGGCCUUCGGGUUGUAAAGCCCUUUUGUUGGGAAAGAAAAGCAGCAGGUUAAUACCCCGCUGUUCUGACGGUACCCAAAGAAUAAGCACCGGCUAACUUCGUG